AUUGAACGCUGGCGGCAUGCCUUACACAUGCAAGUCGAACGGCAGCACGGGUGCUUGCACCUGGUGGCGAGUGGCGAACGGGUGAGUAAUACAUCGGAACAUGUCCUGUAGUGGGGGAUAGCCCGGCGAAAGCCGGAUUAAUACCGCAUACGAUCUACGGAUGACAGCGGGGGACCUUCGGGCCUCGCGCUAUAGGGUUGGCCGAUGGCUGAUUAGCUAGUUGGUGGGGUAAAGGCCUACCAAGGCGACGAUCAGUAGCUGGUCUGAGAGGACGACCAGCCACACUGGGACUGAGACACGGCCCAGACUCCUACGGGAGGCAGCAGUGGUGAAUUUUGGACAAUGGGCGAAAGCCUGAUCCAGCAAUGCCGCGUGUGUGAAGAAGGCCUUCGGGUUGUAAAGCACUUUUGUCCGGAAAGAAAUCCUUGGCCCUAAUACGGUCGGGGGAUGACGGUACCGGAAGAAUAAGCACCGGCUAACUACGUG
rnacentral:rRNA from 1 species